CCAGGUAAAGAAUACAACAGAUAUGCAUCUUGGAGAUCCUAUCAGUCUCCUUCAUCUUCCUCUAAAACCAACAGAGGGAGGGGAUCGAGAGUCCCUUCUAAAAACCUCUGGAGGUUUACAGGCCCACACAGACUGCUUAGGAGGAAGAUUUCAUAAUUUCCUAUCGGUCUGGGCCACAAAUAUAUCAAUCUCAUGGGUCAUGUCUAUCCUCGAUCAGGGAUACAGAAUCAAAUUUGACUCCAUUCCUCCAAUCAACUCAUUCAUACGGUCAAGAAAACCCUCAGGGAAAAAAUGGGAAGCCUUGAUAUCCAUUGUCAAAAAACUACUCCAAGGUGUCAUAGAAAAGGUGCCUCUUUCAGAAAGAUACAAAGGUAUCUAUUCAACAGUGUUCUUGGCCCCAAAACCCAAUGGGAAAUGGAGA